GCCAGACUCCUACGGGAGGCAGCAGUGAGGAAUAUUGGUCAAUGGACGCAAGUCUGAACCAGCCAAGUAGCGUGCAGGAUGACGGCCCUCCGGGUUGUAAACUGCUUUUAGUUGGGAAUAAAAGGGGGCUCGUGAGCCCCGUAUUGUAUGUACCAUCAGAAAAAGGACCGGCUAAUUCCGUGCCAGCAGCCGCGGUAAUACGGAGGAUGCGAGCGUUAUCCGGAUUUAUUGGGUUUAAAGGGUGCGUAGGCGGAUUUUUAAGUCAGCGGUAAAAUGUCCGGGCUCAACCCGGGCCGGCCGUUGAAACUGGGGAUCUUGAGUGGGCGAGAAGUAUGCGGAAUGCGUGGUGUAGCGGUGAAAUGCAUAGAUAUCACGCAGAACUCCGAUUGCGAAGGCAGCAUACCGGCGCCCGACUGACGCUGAGGCACGAAAGCGUGGGGAUCGAACAGGAUUAGAUACCCGCGUA
rnacentral:rRNA from 1 species